UCAGGCUUGUCCCUGACAGUUUUGGUCUAUGUCUUAGUUUUUCCUCUGCGUUUGUCUUUAGUUCCUGUCAGCACUCUUAUUUUGGUUCUGUUUCCUGUUUGUCUCCCUGAGUGCUGUGUAACCCUCAGCUGUGGCUGAUUGGCACCUGGCCACACCUGGGAUCAAUCAGCCAGCCACUAUUUAAGACCUGUUUUCUCCUCCAGUCAGGGCUGGAUUAUUGUCGUGUCAAUGUCAUUUUCUACUUGUCAUUCCUACUGGUCGUGUGAUUGCAGCGUAGCGUGAAAAUCAAAACUCUGGCUCAGGAGGAGCUCAUUCUGAUUGCCUCUACCAACUUUGAUUCUGAGUGGAUUGAGUCAUCCAAAAAACUACUGUUCGAGUUCUGUCCUAACACCAAACAACGUGACGUUCAACAGCCUGGACGUCUCAAACCUGCUCAGCAGAAUGGAGCAUCUGUGCAGCGAGAGUAUCAGCAUUGGAGCAGCAGGAGGAACCCAGUCAUGGUAGAAGGCAGCCUGUGGCAAGGGUUACUUUUGGUGGAGGAUCUGCUCCGUUUAG